rnacentral:rRNA from 1 species
CAGUCGCCGCGGGAAUACAGAGGGUGCGAGCGUUAAUCGGAUUUACUGGGCGUAAAGCGUGCGUAGGCGGCUUCUUAAGUCGGAUGUGAAAUCCCUGAGCUUAACUUAGGAAUUGCAUUCGAUACUGGGAAGCUAGAGUAUGGGAGAGGAUGGUAGAAUUCCAGGUGUAGCGGUGAAAUGCGUAGAGAUCUGGAGGAAUACCGAUGGCGAAGGCAGCCAUCUGGCCUAAUACUGACGCUGAGGUACGAAAGCAUGGGGAGCAAACAUGAUUAGAUACCCCUGUAGUCCCUGUCUCUUAUAC